rnacentral:lncRNA from 1 species
UUGUCCACCUAACAUUUUGUUUAGGUAGGAGGUACGUUUAUAACAAGUUACAAGUAGUGAAGUUCUGCUCACAGCAAAUUUGCUGUUGGAAUGUCGGCUCAAGUCUACAAGGACUUCUUUGCUUUAACCCGCCUUGCCGUUCGAUUGCUCAAGGAACGCCCUGCGGCUGUCGUUGCAUCAGUAAAGAGCAGCACAGCGACUCCACUCAAUCUACAGCGACGGGACUUUAUCCGUAGUCUCCGGCAGCGCUUACAGCCUAAGCUUGCGAACCAGCGGAGCCGAGCGGAGGCGACGGCUGGUAGCAGGGGACGGCGCAAUUGAACGGGGUGUUCGCUAAACAUCAGGCCAGAGAGGGGCGCCACUUUCGGAUUAUGUAACAUAUACAUGAUGGGAUGUCUGACAAUGUGACAACCACCGUUACGGACGGCAUGCACGACCUUAGUCACAAGCCGGAAUUGUUGCUCGACACAUGGACGGGGCUGCGAGGCUAAUCCGUACAUACGACGACACACAGUACCACUUUUCUGGGGUUGGCGGCUGCGCUGGCUGGACGCUGGGGAGGCCUGGAACUUAGGGGCUGCAUGUAGGUGUGGUGUGGUGACAAGCCCACUCUAAGUCGAUGUAUGCAGUGUAUUUGCUCCAUCCUGGAUGCACGUAUGCAGUCUGUGGAUAGCAGGUGGCAGGGCGCCACGUUAGGAGAAGCUAGUUUUAAGUGUACGUGGUACGUGAUCUGCUGCCGUCAGGCCGUGUUGGAGGCGCGUGUAGGUGGGAUGCCGCACGGUUAAGUUAGCGAGUUGGUGGACUAGCUAAUUAACUUGGAGGAAUUUAAAAUAAUUGCUGGGCUGCUGGUGCACUGUGUCCGCGACAGAUUCCAGUAUGAGGGUAACGGUGUCCAUCCUGCUACCCAGGGUAGUCCGUCCCAGCGAUUAUUCUAGUAUGUGAGAAGCAGCGGCCAUCUCGGCAGAUUCUAUCACGCCGUCAGACCUGCAAGUUGCGCUUCAUAUAGGAAAUAUCGGCCGCAUCUUGGUGUGAACUUGCCUGUACACAUCUGCACAUGGUGAUCGGCUUAGGAUACCACUACGCAUGCUCAGUGGCUUUGUCGUUAGCUGCAAGAUUGGAUUCAUAUCCCAGUCUUGCAUACCGACUAUUGCCGAAGCAGGCGGUCUCUGGGAGUUCGUCUGCUUACCUAGACAGACUUAUCUAGACAGACUUAUCUAGACAGACUUAUCAGUAUCCAUCGCCGCAAUUAACACCAUCACCACCACGAGCAUCAUCAUCAUCAUGAUUAGUCGUGGAUGAUGGGGUGGGUACUGGCCCAUAGUGUGGCUGCAGACAGGAUGGGCACGACCUGUAAACUGAUGCAUGCUGGUGUAUCCAGGGUAAAUACAUAGAUGUAUACAUACAUAUGUACGUACGUAUCCUGACUCAUGCUGGCCUGUGCCAUAUGCAGCUCGCGACUCCUUUUCUGGUACAGCGGGAUGAAGUUACAGACUUUCGCGGAGGCGCUAAUGGCACACUCCCGCCCACUGGGGCUCAAGUUCGUGCACACGGCUGGAACUGCUGCUGCUGCUGCUUCUGAGCCCAAACUUGUUGAAGGAAAUUUGCCCGCGGCUUCCCCCCACUCCUGUCCCGCAGCACCUGGCACAUCCACUGGCGGACCGCCUGCCGACGUGCCAGGCGCCAAGACAAAACCAUCAAUGCUGGACGGGUAAAGCCGUGGGCACGCUUCCCAUAAUGUUUCUGGCUGGGUCAACAACAGCAGCCGUCCGAACCGCAUUUAUCAUAGCCCCUUGGGCUGGGGAUACGGGGCUGGGAAUGCGCUAAUGGCGACUCCUCGUCACGUGAUCAAAAUAGUAAGAGAUUUAUGCACAUUAUUGUGGUUGUGACUGGGCUACCACUCUCCUUUCAGUAUAACAGGAGUUGCGUGUUGCUGCCAAGCGUUUCGAUAAAUGCAUGGAGCUGUGAGCGGAAGGUUCACUAAGGCCGUAAAACUCCGAAUUCCAAAGCAUCAAUCCCGGACUGAAUUCUGUAAAACUAGGACCGUACAGAUUGUAAAAAUUGAAGUGUAGGCGGCUGAGGAGACAUUCCACGUAGGAUUACAGCAAAUCCAGUCCAGGGAUGAGCUCCCCGGUUGAUGGAUAGUUCUCUCUGUGCACGCACACACGCAUGCACGCGCCCCAGCAGAGGUGGUACAUAUCAUAGAUGAGGUAUAAACACAGCACAUACAUGCGUACGGAACAGUCCUGCAUCAGGUUAUAACGGUGCACGUUUUGUGUUACAAUUAGAUAGUUAACAUUCAUCAGUUUCCACUGCACAAUUAAUGUGCAGAAAUAAUAAUAAUGAUAAUAAGAAUUAAUACGGCUGUACCCAAGUAAAAGCACGCUCUUGCAGCCACAUGUGGCCCACCACAUCUGCACCGGCCAUGUAACAGCGCCAGCCACUUGUGCGUGUAUAGCAGGUAUAAUCUUCGUAGUAUCGCGGCAACACUUGCUAAGCAGUAUUUCGCAUACACGGUACGAUAUUGGUACACCCAAAAUUGGUAGCAAAAUACACAAGCAGCCUCUUGUUGAUAACUAGUACUUGAUGAAGCGCACUCCCAGGUACGCCACAACCCGGCAGAAAAUGAUGUAGCCGAUGAGCACCCCUGCACAGCCGCCAAUGGAGAUGUAGUCCAAGCCGAGCGCUUUGAUGGUUUGCUCUCCGGAUGUGACGGGGCACUUGCCCGAGCUGUUGAUCUGGUUGGGGGCGCAGUACAGCUUCAGCCCGUGAAGCUCGUUCAGGGAAAUGCCCACAUACCUGCAGAGGCAAGCCCAAGGAAGGGAAAGGCAAGCGCCGCCCGUUACAGGCGGACUGGUGGUGGCGGAGUCUUCUUACUGCGCCUUGGGCAGCAUGCUGUGCAAACAUAUGUGGUUUGUGCCGUAAAUUGCUACGUUGCCAUGCGUCGUAGUAAUGAGCCAACAGGCACCAAACAUGAAGGCAUGAACCACAAGUUGCGGCGCUGGCGGACUUCUGGAAUUAGGUGGAUUUGUACUUACGUGUACUGCACGUACGAAAGCGCGUUGAGCCACUUGAAGUACAGCGGGAUGUUGGCGGGUGAUAGGAAGAAGCCGCCGAAAAGGCGGCACACUUCCAGAGCCUAGAGGCGGAGAAAUAGGUGGUGAUGAUUUGCGGACGAUGAUAUCAAUUAAGAAAUUUUGCAGGUUUGGCUCGCAGGUUUGAACUACAUCUCAGGUGGCUGGGUUGCUCAACCC